CUGUGACUUUUGCUUAUUGGAAAAGAGAUGUUUUUGGAAUCAAGUUUGUACAACUUUGCUCAGUAGGGAGGACUAAUCAUUGGGAACUCAGGAGGAUGAAGUAACGAAGAUGAUAUGCAGGUUAUUCAGCUUUUUUGGCAGCCUCAACGUUGCACAUUCACACGUACUUCAAAAUACCUCCCUGCUAUGUGGUUUUUUGCAAUAGCAAAGAUUGGCUACUAACAUUAGGGGAUUGUAGCUCCAGCUCAUAUGAAAUGAUAAAUGAAGAUGUACUUGAAGAUGUUAUUUGAAUAUAGUCAUGCUAAACAAUAUACUUAUCUUUCUGUAGUUAUGCUAAACAAUGUACUUAUCUUUUCUUAUGGUAUCCGUUUUUCAUAUAUAACAAAUCAUAGCUUCCUGGUAA